UGAACGAUAAUCGACAAAAAUCAGAAAUACAUUAAAAAAAAAAAUUAUAAUUCAUUAGUACUUUUCCCUAAAACUUUGGAUUACAUUUAUUUGCCUGUAACAUUUGAAGGUUUCGAUUUUUAAAUUAGGAUAUUUCGAUAAAAGCAUACAUAUAUUGGUUGUCAAAAAGUCUUGCGAUAUUUUCGCUAGUUGGCGCUGAAAGCGCGUAGUUCCAGUUUUAUUCGUCGCAUCGGGUCAUGCUAUACCUUUUUGGAAAGCCCAUUUCACGCGCUAAUACGUGUGUGAUUGACUGUCGUUUCUUUUAAGGCGUUCGUGAGUUAUAGCGUCGCAAACAUGGAGCAAAAUAAAGAGAAAAUACGGCAUAUUUUACAGUACUACUACGAUAAAGGCAAAAAUGCAUCUCAAGCCGCCAAUAAAAUUUGUGCAGUUUAUGGACCCGAUAUAGUUUCCAUUUCCACCGCACAACGAUGGUUUCAACGUUUUCGUUCUGGUGUAGAGUUGGUCGAAGAUGCGCCACGCUCCGGAAGGCCUGUCGUCGAAAAUUGCGAUAAAAUCGCUGAAUUGGUCGAAAGAGACCGGUAUAGUAGCAGCCGUAGCAUCGGUCAAGAGCGGGCAUGAGUCAUCAAAAAUUCAUUUCAAUUUCAAGUCGCCGUGGUACUCCAUUCUUCCGCUAGUGUAGGAAAAAGUUGGAUACCAAAGACCAUGAACACCCCGGUAUCAUAUCGACCUGGGUUAUAUUUUUCAACAUUCCCAUUAAGUACGAAUAUCGAGAGUAUCAAGUAACGAAUGAAAUUUUAUUCUGUAACAUAUUUCUCAAUUUUAUCAAUUCUGGUUUUGUAUCAAAUAUUGAAAGUUUGGAUAUUUCAAAACCCAUCACUGCUUGCAUCAAUAGUGCCCAAUUGAAUUUCAAACAGUGGUGUUAUGUAUAGCGUGUAUAUCGUGCAUAAUCGCAAAAUUUUUUUUUUGUUUUUUACUUCAAACAAUGUAGAGCGCAUAAUGAACUAGAUUUAAAAACAAAAAUUUCGAUCAAGAUAUUUCGCAACAACAUAAUUGUCUUAAGGCAAAAGGAAAAUCGCAAAAAGGGUAAUAAGAAAAAAAUAUUAAAAAAGCAAGUCUUCGCGCUCAUUAGAAAAACAUUGAAAAUCAUAGUAUAGCAUUGGAAAUAUCAGCAGUUUCAACAUAAGUUUUAUCAUAGAUAUUAUUAGAUAAUAAGUGUUUGCUUCAUGUUUUUAAUCGGCCUGUGCAGUGAAAUAUAAUAUGUGAAAACAAAUGUGUGUUUUAUGUGUUUAAAGAGGUCUGCGCAGUGGAAAAAUUAUGUGAAUACAAAUGUUUGUUUUAUUUUCCCAUUAUAUAGAACAAACAAAACUCUAUUAUUGUAUUCACAGUUUAUGAGAAUAUUCAUAUAUGGCAACUUUGCCUGAUAUUUGACAUUUAAACUGUGAGCGCACAAAGUUAGUUUUGUUGCAAAUUAAUGUUUAAUUUUUGUAUAAAAAUGUCUCAUUUAAAUGGAAAGUAAAAUAUCCAAAUUAUCAUUAUGUCAAUAUAACCGCUAAUGAUUCGAGUAUGUAUAUAUAUAAGUUAGCACCCCAUACAUUCAAAAUGUAUCAUAUGAUGCAUUAAUAUCAUAUGAUACAAAGUAAUAUCUAUAAUAUGACACCACUAAAUCGCAGAGAGUGCGACACGUGUAGUGGCAACCUGUGGGAGGUGCAGCGUCACCAAACUCCGUACCCGUUGCAGCGGCAAACAUAGGUCUAGAGUUAAGUAUAAUUAAUUGUAAAUUGUAGUUCUUGCACAGAAUUCAAUAAAGGAGCAUAGCUCCCAAUUAAAGGAGCAUUGCUCCCAAAAAAAGGGGCAUAGCUCCCGAAAAACAUUUUUUUUUAUUAAAACUAACUAAACGUUUUUUAACUGGCGCCCAAGCAGAGACCAGCGCGCUAUGGAAAGCUGGAAACACCUAGUAAUAUUACUACCGCUAUGCCUGGCGGAAGUACAGAUCCUCGACUACUCAAACUCACAAUUAAUAACAAUAGAAAAGGGAACGGCUAGACUACAAACAGAAACAUUUAGGAUAAUACAUGAAAUUGACAUAGAAAAAUAUACGGACACACUUGACUAGUACAUAGAAGCGACUAUCAAAACUGAAACUAUCCGCAAAAACCCCAAUUACCCCUUCAUAUCCCACUUGAUAACACAGAUAAGAGCCCAACUUAACAAUCUCAAAGUAGAACAAAAAAUAAAAAGAUCAAUAAAUUUCCUGGGUAGCGCAUGGAAAUGGAUUGC